UACGAAGGGGGCUAGCGUUGCUCGGAAUCACUGGGCGUAAAGCGCACGUAGGCGGAUCGUUAAGUCAGGGGUGAAAUCCUGGAGCUCAACUCCAGAACUGCCUUUGAUACUGGCGACCUUGAGUUCGGGAGAGGUGAGUGGAACUGCGAGUGUAGAGGUGAAAUUCGUAGAUAUUCGCAAGAACACCAGUGGCGAAGGCGGACUCACUGGCCCGAUACUGACGCUGAGGUGCGAAAGCGUGGG
rnacentral:rRNA from 1 species